rnacentral:rRNA from 1 species
UACGGAGGGUGCAAGCGUUAUCCGGAAUCACUGGGUUUAAAGGGUGCGUAGGCGGUGGUGUCAGUCAGUUGUGAAAUUCCCUCGCUUAACGAGUGGGACUGCGAUUGAUACUGCAUCACUUGAAUCAGGAUGAGGUAGGCGGAAUGUGGCAUGUAGCGGUGAAAUGCUUAGAUAUGCCAUAGAACACCGAUUGCGAAGGCAGCUUACUGGACCUGUAUUGACGCUGAGGCACGAAAGCGUGGGGAGCAAACAGG